AAGGAGACGUGCACCGCCAACACGUGGGGGGGGCUGUAAGCUGGAGGAGCGCACAGCAAAGGUGUUAGUGCAAAGUGCAUUGAACCGGGUCCUGGGUUCUUGUCUCUGCACUUCCAUGAAGCUUUUUGUCUUCGUCCUGCCCUCUGGCUGUGUUUUGUGCGGAGCUGGCGUGAUUUGUGAGGCGGGUGUCAGCCUCCCCCUGCCUUCUGACCUCCGGAAAUCCUGCUGCGCGGGAGAGAACCUGUCAUCUCGUGUUUGCAAGCACUUUUCAAUUUAAUACAUUUUAAUCAGAAAAUUAAUCAGGAAACACCAGUUCAGCAAGAUAAUUGAACAAUGAAGAGACACGAUAAUUACUGUUUAGUCUAAUUAACUUUGUUAAGUCUUUAUUGGGAACAGAGACUUCCUGAGUGAAACUUAUUAAAUGGUUCUCCCUGGAAAACAGAAUCCCCAUCAAGAAGCCUUUGUUACUCGUACUGCUUGGUAGGAGUUGGGUGCCUGUCUUUAAAUCACGAUUAGGGAAGCCUACAGGUGGGUUUUGGGCAAGCUGUAAAUUACUUUUCAGUCUGCUCUCCUCCAUCUUCAGUUCACUUACAUCUCUUAUUCCUUGCUGUCCUCCCCUCUUCUUCCCAGGUCGGCAGGAUUGGAUUGCUGCCUCCGUGGCACUGCAGCAAGGGCGGGCAUGGUCGGAGCCGUGGCGGUUCUGCUUCUUGUUAACUUGGAAUAAUGACAGAUGGCUCUGGCUCAUCCAGAGGUUCGCAUACGAAGCCAUUCAGGGAAACCGCAGUGGAAACCUAAUGCCGAAAUCAGCCCUCAAAAUCGAAUUAACCUUUAGGAAGAUCUUACAAGUGACGCUGCGAGCAUUGCUUUCUCCUGAAGAGAAAGCAGCUGGAGGAAGUAACAUCUGAAAUUGCCACAAGUGUUUGUGAAGGCAGCACCUUGCCGUGGCAGUCUUUGGCAUCAGCAGAGGUGAGCAGGAUGAAACUCAGAAACAUCAGACUUGUAGUUUUUAAGGCCAGAAGGGACCAUUAGAUCAUAUAUUCCAACUGACGGAGUUUCUUUCACUUACCCUACUACUGGUACUAGUAACUUGCAUGUCUAAAGCAUAUCUUUCAGAGAAGUACAGGUCUAGGUUGGGAGGCUCCAAGUGAUGAAGAGGCUACUGCUUCCAGUUUGUUUGAAUAUUUAAUCGUCCCUAGUUUAAAGAAAAUGCAAGUCUUAUUUUGAAUUCAAAUUUGCUUGGCUUUAAUUUCCAUCAAGAGAUCCUCUCUGUGCUCAUAUCUGCUAGAUGAGAGAGCCCUUAGUAUCUCAUAUUUUCUUCCUGUGAAAGUGCUUUACACUUCAAUUAAAUUAUCUUUUGAAUUUUUUCCUGAUAAGUUAAGGAGAUUAGUCUUUCUGCAUUCUUCACUCUGAUGCAUUUGUUUCCCAAUGUCUGAGUCACUCACCUCUCAGUGCCCCCACUCCAGAUUUGUGUCUUGUAAUAGAGUACGGAUGCUGCAAAUAGGUGUAGCAUUGUUACGUGGAGCUCAGAGGUAGCCCACAGCCCUGGCUGUUGCUUCCAGUAUCUGAUUCUCCAUGCUCACUGAGACAGGUCAUGAACAAGCCUGGGACAUCACACCAGUGCACAACUGGUCAGAGAACCCAACUGCCUGCAUCCGGCUACUGGGGGCAAAACCUGCAAGAAGCAGUGUUUGAAUCCAAAUUUUGUUUGCAGCAACACCUUUCUGAUGCAAAGCUAUUAUUAAUGAACGCGGGGGAAAACAGCCAGAGAGCUCCCCAUAAGUCUUGUUUUGAGAUGAUUUUUCACUGUUCCUGUAUCUCAAUUCAGCUUUGAUCUCUCAUUUGUUUUCCUUCCCUAUUUCUUUCCUUUCUGGUGGAAGAUGGAGAGCAGCUACUGUGAAAUAGGUG
ensembl:lncRNA